AAAGGAUGGAAAAUGCCAAAAAUGUCAUUCUUUCUGGAAGUUCUGCAGGAGGCAUAACUGCAAUUUUGCAUUGUGAUCGGUUUCGAUCACUUUUGCCAUUCGAUGCAAAACUUAAAUGCUUUUCUGAUUCUGCAUAUUUUGUGCACGAGAAAUAAUAUUUGAUGGGGGAGAAGAAAUUUGAGAGUUUCUUUGAAGGAUUGAUUACAUUACAUGUAAUAUAGCAAAUUUGUAUACU